GUGCUUUUUGUUUUGUUUUGUUUUUGAGAUAGGGUUUCCUUUUGUUGCCCAGGCUGGAGUGCAGUGGCGCAAUCACAGCUCACUGCAGCCUUGACCUCCUGGGCUCAGACGAUCCACCUCAGCUUCCAGGAUAGCUGGGACUACAGGUGUGUGCCACUACACCUGGCUGAUUUUUUGUAUUUUUUUUUUUUUUUUGGCAGAGAUUGGAUUUCACUAUAUUGCCCCAGCCAGUCUCAAACACUUAGGCUCAAGUAAUUUGCCCACCUUGGACUUGCAAAAUUCUGGGAUUACAGCUGCAAAAUUCUGGGAUUACAGCUGGGAUUACUGUGCCAGGGCUGUGCUUCUUGAUUUAAUAAAAUUUGGCAUUUGUGAUCAUGCAGUGAUCGUGUAAGACAUCUCUACUGCUUCCUUCCAUGUUAAUGUGGUUUAGCUGUGUCCACACCUAAAUCUCAACUUGAAUUGUAUCUCCCAGAAUUCCCUAGUGUUGUGGGAGGGGCCCAGGGGGAGGUAAUUGAAUCAUGGGGGCUGCUCUUUCCUGUGCUGUUCUCGUGAUAACGAAUAAGUCCCACAAGAUCUGAUGGGUUUAUCACGGGUUUCCACGUUUGCUUUUUCCUCAUUUUCUCUUGCCACCGCCACAUAAGAAGUGCCUUUCACCCCCACUGCCCCCUGGCUUGAUUCUGAGGCCUCCCCAGCCAUGUGGAACCCUGGUCUCCUUUCAGACCCAUCCAGUGAGGUCCUUUUGGAUUGGACCGAAGACCCCCUCUGGAGAGCUCUCUCUGUAGCCUAUACUAAUGACAUUGGCCACUGGCCAGGGCUCCAUCCCUUCCUGGCUUCCACCCCAAGGAGUCCAAGCCCCAGACAGUUAGCAUAGAGAUCAUCCAGAUUUUGCAUUUCCAUAGGAAGGAUUGAUGGAGACUUCAAGAAUAAUGUAUCAAAGUGCCAAUUUCUUUCUAAAGGGCUGGGGAGGAUACUAUUGACAGCAGCAGAAAGGGGUAGCAGUGGUUUGCUUUCCAAAUGGUGAAAAGAAGGGCCUGGCGGUGGCACCCGGUCCACGCAUGAUUAAAAAUGGAUUCUCCUGC
rnacentral:lncRNA from 13 species